GAACGCUGGCGGCGUGCUUAACACCUGCAAGUCGAACGGACAGGCCCUGCUUUUGUGGGGUGCUCGAGUGGCGAACGGGUGAGUAACACGUGAGUAACCUGCCCUUGACUUUGGGAUAACUUCAGGAAACUGGGGCUAAUACCGGAUAGGAGCUCCUGCUGCAUGGUGGGGGUUGGAAAGUUUCGGCGGUUGGGGAUGGACUCGCGGCUUAUCAGCUUGUUGGUGGGGUAGUGGCUUACCAAGGCUUUGACGGGUAGCCGGCCUGAGAGGGUGACCGGCCACAUUGGGACUGAGAUACGGCCCAGACUCCUACGGGAGGCAGCAGUGGGGAAUAUUGCACAAUGGGCGGAAGCCUGAUGCAGCAACGCCGCGUGCGGGAUGACGGCCUUCGGGUUGUAAACCGCUUUCGCCUGUGACGAAGCGUGAGUGACGGUAAUGGGUAAAGAAGCACCGGCUAACUACGUG
rnacentral:rRNA from 1 species